rnacentral:rRNA from 1 species
UGUACAACAGGCAAAUCCGUUGUAUAAUCCGAAGACGUGAUGUGGAGCGAAAUAAAGUAGUGAAGCGUGUGAGCCAUGUGCCGAGAAAAGCUGCUAUUGUGUAAUGCGUGCCCGUACCGUAAACCGACACAGGUGGAUGAGGAGAGAAUCCUAAGGCCGACGGAAGAAGCAUUGUUAAGGAAUUCGGCAAAAUGACCCCGUAACUUCGGGAGAAGGGGUGCCUGCGAGAGCAGGCCGCAGAGAAUAGGCUCAAGCAACUGUUUAGCAAAAACACAGGUCUAUGCGAAACCGAAAGGUGAAGUAUAUGGGCUGACGCCUGCCCGGUGCUGGAAGGUUAAGAGGAGAGGUUAGCGUAAGCGAAGCUUUGAAUUUAAGCCCCAGUAAACGGCGGCCGUAACAAUAACGGUCCUAAGGUAGCGAAAUUCCUUGUCGGGUAAGUUCCGACCCGCACGAAAGGCGUAAUGAUUUGAGCACUGUCUCGACAAUGCAUCCGGUGAAAUUGAAGUACCAGUGAAGAUGCUGGUUACCCGCGCCAGGACGGAAAGACCCCAUGGAGCUUUACUCCAGUUUGAUACUGGGAUUCGGUACUGCAUGUACAGGAUAGGUGGGAGACAAAGAAGGAUGGACGCCAGUCUGUCCGGAGUCGCUGUUGGGAUACCACCCCUGUAGUACUGGGUUUCUAACCAGUUGCCAUUAACUGGCAAUGGGACAAUGUCAGGCGGGGAGUUUGACUGGGGCGGUCGCCUCCGAAAGGGUAUCGGAGGCGCUCAAAGGUUCCCUCAGAAUGGUUGGAAACCAUUUGAAGAGUGCAAAGGCAGAAGGGAGCUUGACUGCGACACCGACGGGUGGAGCAGGUACGAAAGUAGGACUUAGUGAUCCGGUGGUAUAAAGUGGGAUUGCCAUCGCUCAACGGAUAAAAGCUACCCUGGGAUAACAGGCUUAUCACUCCCAAGAGUUCACAUCGACGGAGUGGUUUGGCACCUCGAUGUCGGCUCAUCGCAUCCUGGGGCUGUAGCAGGUCCCAAGGGUUGGGCUGUUCGCCCAUUAAAGCGGUACGCGAGCUGGGUUCAGAACGUCGUGAGACAGUUCGGUCCCUAUCCGGCGCGGGCGGAGGAUAUUUGAGAGGAGCUGUCCUUAGUACGAGAGGACCGGGAUGGACGGACCACUGGUGUAUCUGUUGUCGACCAACGGCAUGGCAGAGUAGCCAAGUCUGGAAGGGAUAAACGCUGAAGGCAUCUAAGCGUGAAGCCCCCCUCAAGAUGAGAUAUCCCUCCUUCGGGAGUAAGACCCCUUGAAGACUACAAGGUAGAUAGGGCAGAGGUGGAAGCAUGGCAACAUGUGGAGCUGACUGUUACUAAUAGGUCGAGGGCC